rnacentral:rRNA from 1 species
GAUGAACGCUGGCGGCGUGCCUAAUACAUGCAAGUCGAGCGAACGGACGAGAAGCUUGCUUCUCUGAUGUUAGCGGCGGACGGGUGAGUAACACGUGGAUAACCUACCUAUAAGACUGGGAUAACUUCGGGAAACCGGAGCUAAUACCUGAUUAUAUUUUGAACCGCAUGGUUCAAAAGUGAAAGACGGUCUUGCUGUCACUUAUAGAUGGAUCCGCGCUGCAUUAUCUAGUUGGUAAGGUAACGGCUUACCAAGGCAACGAUGCAUAGCCGACCUGAGAGGGUGAUCGGCCACACUGGAACUGAGACACGGUCCAGACUCCUACGGGAGGCAGCAGUAGGGAAUCUUCAGAAAUGGGCGAAAGCCUGACGGAGCAACGCCGCGUGAGUGAUGAAGGUCUUCGGAUCGUAAAACUCUGUUAUUAGGGAAGAACAUAUGUGUAAGUAACUGUGCACAUCUUGACGGUACCUAAUCAGAAAGCCACGGCUAACUACGUG